CCCAAAAUACUCGCCGCCGCCCCCUUUGCUGAGAGGUAACCUAGUUCCCAAAUCCUUGUCGGAUCCGCGGCCAUGGAGGAAUCCUUGACGGCCCCCUCCGUCGAUCCCGCCUCCGUCGACCCCGCCUCACUCGAUCCCGCCGCCGUCGACCCCGCCUCCGUCGACCCCGCCGCCGUCGACCCCCUCGCCGUCGAUCCCCUCGCCGUCGACCCCCUCGCCGUCGACCCCGCCUCCGUCGACCCCCUCGCCGUCGACCCCGCCUCCGUCGACCCCGCCUCCGUCGAUCCCGCCUCCGUCGACACCCCCGCCGUCGAUCCCGCCUCCUUCCACCCCCCCGCCGUCGAUCCCGCCUCCGUCGACCCCCCCGCCGUCCAUCCCGCCUCCUUCUACCCCCCCGCAGUCGACCCCGCCGGCGCCAACCCAUCCAGCUACCCCUCCUGGGUCCUCCUCGACAGCAGAGCCUACUUCGCCGACCGCGUCAACGCCACCACCGUGAAGGCCACGGCGAGCACGGGCCACGAAUUCAAGGUCACCUUUUGUCUCGCCGACCCGCCCGCCGUCUCCUACUUCUGCGUCCACUGCCCCGAAGGUUGUUACACCACGGAGCCCCGCGUCGUCUCCUCCGCCAGUGACCUCGUCCUCCUCUGCUUCGCCUUCAGCUCCGGCCCACGGAGCACAGAAAAAGACUCCCAUCUCGAGUACUUCGUCUACAAGGCUGCCUCCGACGGCAAGCCCACCAUCAGAUCUGUUCCGUGUUCCCCUCGAGCCUACGUGCACUCAUGGCACGCCGCCAUCGUGCCCGGCAAGGGCGACAAUUUCUUGGUCGCUGAUCUUUCCCUGAAUGGGGACCCUGGGCACUACAACCUGCACAUCUUCUCGUCGGAGACAAACGAGUGGAGCACCAAACAUGUGCAGCUGCAGACCGACCCGAAUGUCCUGCCACUGGAGCUGCCAAUCCUAACUGACAAGGUGAUCUUGCUCGGAAGAAGCACAGUAGGAUGGGUCGACCUCUGGCGUGGCAUUGUCGUCUGCAAUUUGCUUGAAAAGGAGCCUGUUCCCCAUUUCAUCCCGCUGCCCAAGGCCGAAUUCGACCUGCACCGGAAAAGCAAAGCACGGCAAGUGCGGGACGUCAUUGGCUUCACCGAUGGUUACAUCAACUUCAUCGAGAUCGAACACUGUCUCAGGUGGUUCCCCGUUGUCAGAAAGAGCAAUUUGAAGACGGCCAUGAUUUUUGAUGUUGCAGAUACCAUCGAUGAUGCAGAGCUCCUCAGUCUUGAUGAUAUGGACGGCGUUAGAGAUGACAAACCUGUGCAGCAUGUACCUGCUGGCUGGAAGAUCCGGACAAUGUUUAGGAGCAUUGAUUGGAACUAUUGGGAAAGUAGUCACAUUCUUCAUGUUGACGAAAUAUCAGCCUCCCCACCUGAACCCUCUGUGCUGCAAUCUCAUCUAUGGAAUGAUACAGACAAGAAAUGGACAUUGGGAAAACUGAAGUGUACAAGCUUCCCGACCUUUGGUUUUUACGGCGGUGAUGUUGUCUAUCUCGUGUCUAAGGCGGAGUCUCAGGAUAAUGAUGCAUUGCUUGUUGGUGUUGAUAUUCGAAAAAUGAAGCUGGAAUCCAUCAAAGCAUAUGGCUGCGGGAGAUCCAUUUCUUUUGGUCCCAUUCCGGUUGUUCGUUUUAAAAUUGGAAGGAAGCAGGAAGUCAUCGAACCAUCUUGUGGCGGGAGAUCCGCUUCUUUUGAUGCCAUUUCAUGUGCAUUCUCAAAAUAUCUAAAUACCGCUCCAAGUCCAAGGCCGUGUAAUGGGGAAGCUGCAGCAGAGUCUGCUCAGAAUGGUGUGCUGAAUGAUCAUCUUUCAUCGAGGGAUACUGUUCCGAACAGUGUGCAACCCCAGCAAAACAUGUGGAAUGAGGGUGGCUGCAAUGGGGGUUGGAGUGAAUAUGGUUAUAGCGUGCAGCAGCCAUCCAGUUUGACACAAUCUGGGCAGCCAAUGUUGUCUUCAACUCGAUUAGUGUCGGUCCCACCACUGGGAUAGAAGCUGUUCUGUGCAGAGAAGCUUCUGUUCGCGAUUAACUCACCUAGCUCUGUUAUCCAUGCUCCCAUGUAAGCUGCAAAUUAAUACUCCUGUCAUCCUGUCUGCUAACUGUCAAGUGCCUGGGAUUUGGACAUACAUUAAUCCUGCUAAAUGUUAUCAUCGCCACCUGUGCCAUCAAGUGAAAUGUGUAAGCCGACGACGGCGUCGCUCCUUUGAUGCCUCUAAUGCCAGUGCAGACUCCCUUGGCUCAACCAUGGCCAACAUCAGCACAUGAAGCCAGUUGCAUCUCCUGCACAUCGCGACUAGGUGGAAUGUCAACAAAGUGCAUGCUCUUGCAUCCCGAUGCUGUGAAGGCAUAUGUCCACAUACCGGCUACCACCGUAUGUUAUCAUAUCAUGGAUGAUGCUUUAAAACAUUUGAAUACUUUAAUUUGUCUAUGGAGUUAUGGACCUUAAGCCUUUGCUGA